rnacentral:rRNA from 1 species
CUCCUGGGAAGUCCUCGUGUUGCACCCCUCUCUUUUUCUUCGCGUUUUUUUCGUUGGGGUUGUCGUUUGCGGCGGUCCAGCACGCUCGCUCUGCAUGCACCCCUUGAUCUUCCCUGCAUUUAUUUUUUUUCUCGCUGGGCUUAUCGUGUACGUCGGUCCAGCACGCUCGCUUUGGAGGCUUAGCCCGCCCCAGGCCAAAAGCACGAGCCGCAGAUCUCGUUUCGGGUGCUAAAGCGUCGCGGGGACGUCGAAAUGCGCGGAAGCCCCUCGGGCCGCACCUCUCCGGCGGUAAGGUGCAUCGUUGCGUUCGGAUCCUUUUAUAAGAAUUAAAUGCGCUUAUGCUGAUGGGUGCGAUCAUACCAACACUAAUGCACCGGA